AUGCGGAGAGACACCAUACAAAGGGACAUGCAUAGAAAGGCCUUUGUCAUGUGGCGUCAGCGUUUGACCCUACUCAAUUUGUGUAUUUCAGGGACCCUUUCUCUCACCGGAGAGGAGACGACUCCAAGGCCCACAUCUUGCACUCCUCCUUCUCCUAUGGUGAACACCCAACAAAGUCUCCGGACCUGCAAGAUGCACAUCUCCUCAAAUCGAGUCCAAGAUUACAAAGAAGACGAGCCUUCCGAUAUACGCCUGGAAUUCUGGAGAGGAGGGACGUUAUGGAUGACGAGCAGGAGGAUAAUGUCGAUGGCAGCCCCAGCCUGGUCAGCCCCUUUCCCCCAUNNNNNNNNNNNNNNNNNNNNNNNNNNNNNNNNNNNNNNNNNNNNNNNNNNNNNNNNNNNNNNNACGGGCUAUUGCAUACUGCACACCUUGUUUUGUGGUACAAACACUUUUUGUCCCCUGUAAUGGUUUUAGGGCUUAAAAAUGUUUCAUCCUCUUCCAUUAAAUGUGCUAGUCAAUUGUUUCUAUUUAGAUUUUAUUUUUAUAUUCCUAAGCGAAAUAAAAUUUGAUAGAGGUAGUACUGUAUGUAUAGUAGCUUCAUGCUCUGCUAGUGGUGGAUACAGCGAGGGUACAAGUGUCAUCCAGUAUAGAAAUAUCGAGCUUGUGUGUGCGUGUGCCCCCUGGUCAUAUCUUUUGAAAGUGGCGGGCAUGACUCGGUGUCCUUGAAAGACANNNNNNNNNNNNNNNNNNNNNNNNNNNNNNNNNNNNNNNNNNNNNNNNNNNNNNNNNNNNNNCAUACCGGGCCAAGUACCACCAGAGGUCCACCCUGUACACGGACACUAAAGGUGGGGAACAACACGCGACGUCUGGUGAGAGCGACCUGGGAGAUGGGUGGCUCCCCAUCCCUGAGGCCCAACCUGCAGAGCUCCCCAAGAACCGGCCUGAAUCAGGUAAAUGGAAUUGUCUGUAGAUAAUUUGCCACAGGACGUGGAAAACACUUGGAGCCCUAAUUGUUUGUGGUCAUAUCCACUUCACCAUUUGUUUAUUAUGUCCAAAGUAAAAGCAUGUUCCUGCUAUAGAUUUGUUUUGUCAUCAAUAAAUGUUACCAAAAGGACCAGAACUUUCAUUAAAGUCUAUUUGUGUGGUGGAUACUGUUUUCUUUGUGUGUUCUAAUCUAUGUCUCUGGUCUUUUGCAGGUUACUCCACCAGUAAACAUACUGCAAAAUGGAAUCCUGUAACAACCAAAGGACUUGAUGAACAUGGGUUUCUAUGAUAGAAACUCCUGUUGAAGGGCCUGGUACGAAAGCCACAGUUAAAACAAUCAUCUCCUACAAGUUUUGAAACCUUCUUAUGGUGAUGCUUAUUUGUACAGAUCUCAUAUCAGAAGUCCAACAUGAAUCUGGAACGCCAAAGAGAUUGGUAACUCCCAAAGGCAGUAACAACUAGUCUGAAGAGUACUUUUCAGUUCAGCAGUAGUCACAGGAGUCUUGCGCCACCCCGCAGAACAGUCUUUCUGCAGAACAAUCUUAGUACCAUUGUGAUUGUGGCCACUAGAUGGCAACAGCAGUAAUUGUGGAUUUGCACAGUAGAAAGCCCCCAAAACUACCAAAAGAGGAUCUAAACCUGGGAUGGUUAUUGGUCAACGCAGGGACCUCCUCGAACUUACUUCCAAGGUCAUCCACUGAGUUGAAUCACAGAAUGUCUCCCACGAAGCCACUUUUUCCCCUUAAGAGAUUAUCAAAUAAAAUACCCUUAACAAUGACAAUAACCCAUCUCUAACCCAUUUACAAUUUACGCAGAUAAUUGAUGGAAUGCUUGUAUUUCUUUCUGGAAUUAUGCUAAUUUCAGUGUUAUACGGUUACUGUGCUACUUCUGCCUAUGUGACAAUGCAGGGUGAGGUAGAUAAGCCUUGAGCAGGUUUUUAGUUUUAGUCUUCAGUGUGGAUUCAUUCAUUCAUGGAAUAAGAUUUUUUCAGUUUGUGGACACUAGGGCUGGCACAAUUACCGUUGAACUAUGUGACCAACGAUUAUGGAUUAAGACUGUCAUGAAAAAUAAAAUAACUGUCAUAACUGUAAAAAAAAUAUAUAUACAUUUGCAAACGAACAGAUGACUGAAGAUGGGACGGCUGGGCAUUCGUGCAGUUGAGUCCCUUUCUGUGGUAAUAUGGACUCUUAACAACGUGAUGAAACUUGGUUGUUCCUUGCUGAAACAAGCAAGGUGGUGCCUAUGCAACGCACCCCACAAUGCAGCAGCACACAUAGAAAUGGAAUGAAUAGACCAGGCUUGGAACCUCUAAUCCUGGCAAUUUGACUGGUAAACUCAAUGGCUGCCUGGUAUUGUGAUGCAAUAUUUUCAAUGGUUAUGUAGAUUGUUCAUUCAAAUGUGACUCAUGCAAUGAAAUUUAUUUUUUGUAAUGUGAGUUGAAUCAACAAAUCACAACACAUAUUGAUGGGUACUCUAGGUUGAAGAUGAUAUAUAAUACAUAUCUUUACUUCCUACUUUGCGCAAAGAUUGUGGAUGAAUGAAGAUCGUUCACUCAGGCCAUUUACCAUAUUUUUUUUUUCUCAGUUCCUGUCUACUUAAGGGGGUGGCUCUCCCAUAGACACCAAUGCAAUAGCAUCUGGGUCUGGUCUACUUAGUUCAUUGACUUCCAUUUAAAACAAAAAAUGUGAAAGUGGGAUUUCUCACUUCAUCUUCCUUCUCUGCUAUGUGUACACUCGCCUCCAGUCCACCCAUUAUGCGAUAAUUAACUUGAAUGGAGACACCUGUUCUAUGCAUUCUAUGUAUAUGGCAGCACAUGCAGUCAGGAGUGGAGAAAAUGUGCAUCUAAAAAAUAUAGGAUUAUGAUUUUUUUGCUGUGCUAAUGUUAUUACAGAGACUGCGGUCAUUUGGCUGGCCAAUUCAUCGAAAAUUCCAUGAUCGUCACAGCCCUAGUGUACAAUCAUCCAUUGUUUUCGUAAGAGCCAGUUGGGGAAGACGAGAAGCCCUAAGGAUUCCUAAAGAUUUAUCAAAUGAUUUAUUAUUUUGUAUUUUAAAAAUGAUUAUAAAUUAUAUUUUCUAUAAUUUAAAUGAUAUUCUGAUUUCAUCUCUUCAGUUUGUGUUUGAAAGGGAACGUUUAACAAUGAAGAGAAAAAAAUGCUAUAUGUGGAUUUUUGUUGUUGUGGUGGUCUCUGAGGAGAAAUAUUUUGCUAGCUAAUCCAGCCAUGGUUAGGCCCUCAGAAACUAGACAUCUGCCAUUCAACAGUGACAGGGAAGACAACUAAUCACAUUUUGACUGGGUAGGACCGUUUUUACAGUAUUGUUUUAAACUUCUGCUUUUUCAAAGGCCUAGACACUUCACUCCUGAUAGUAUGAGCAGUAGCCUAGUUCUCCCACGGUCUAGCUAGCUUUUGUUGCCGUGUGCAGCGGCUGCAGCCACAACUGUUAUCGAGGAGGAUGUUUUUUCUAAUUUUUUAACAUCACCCUUCAAUAUGAACUUUUUAACAAGAUGUUAAGUUUCACAUUUUCAUAGUUUGGUGAGUGUCACUGUUUUUGCAGCACGCGUGUUGUUGGCUAUCACUUUGAAAAUAUGCGUGUGAAACAUUGAUGCAUUUAAACAUUAGAUCACUGGUUACUUUGUGUGCUUAACGUGAUAAAAUGUUUGCAAUAGGAAGUAAUAGUUGUACAUUUAAUGGUUAUGAUUGGGGGCUUCUGACACCGUUUGAUGUGUCACUUAUCGCUAGGCUAUUGCUGACAGUGAUGGUGUUAGGCUACCACAGAUUGUUUAAACUGUUGUUGUUGGUCGCAUUAUUCCGUGACAGUCUGAUGCGUGGCUCAGGUCGGUUUGAUUCAUUAAUGAUGUCAUCAAAAAACAUUGCUACUCUUGCAUUAGAGCUAGUGUAAAUGUUAACUUUUUUGGGGGGAGGGGGAGAUGUUUUAACCCCAAUAAAGUCCAAUAGUCACGGUUCGUAGGAGCACUACUUUAAAAUGGAUCCCAAGGGUCCCCUUAUGUGGCCACAGAAUCUCUUCUAGUCCGAGGUUGAAUGCGAGUUUAGUGAUUGUUAGGAGAGAAACGUCUCAAUUCAUUGGCAUUGGCACAGUAUGUUAUCUGCCUUUCAACUGUGUAUUCCCUAGGAAGCAAAUUGCCGAAGUGGGAGGGACUAACCAGACUUGUCCAAUAAGAAUCGCUAAUUUUCAUAAACAUUCGCUGCUAUGUUUUUAUACGUUUUCUAUCCCUAGUUCGGAUCGCAAUACAUUCUCUCUCACACUCCUUUCUAGAUAUAAGCUUCUUUGUCUGCUCUUUUUAAUGUUGCUCCUGUCCAUACUGGGUAGUAUGUUAAAGGUAUGUUAGGUCAAACCAUGCUUCUAUAUAUUUGUCUUCUACUCCUGGNNNNNNNNNNAAUCCAAACCUUAACCAUUAGUGGAGCAAAUGCAACACACUCCCAACAUCAUUAUCUAGGGGCAACUUCAUCCCACUCCAUGGUGGUAAGUAACACCGAUGUUAGACUGGUGUAUACACACUGAUGUUAUACUAGGGUAAUUGUGUUAAACAUUGGGGUUAAUCCUUUGUGGAAAUUCGCUGUUAGUUGUCCUGCCUCCCAUGAUGUUUUGUGCCAGUUACCUUUCGGCCCUCACUCCUUAUUUGUUUUGCUUGUUUGUAAGUUCUCAGAAAAGCCAAAGCAUCUGGCAAAAUCCUCAUGUUACACCCCACCUUGUCGUAUUGUCCUUUGCCCAAAGCAUAAACACUCAAAAAAUAUGAAAUGAGGCAGCCGUGCUAAUUUUGAGUCAAUAUUUUGNNNNNNNNNNUAGCUUGAUCCCCAGAGAUGAUCACAUUAGCUAGUGAUGCUGUAAAAAGUUAUGUUUAUGAUUAUUUCUGUUGUCAAAUAUGUUUUAUAUAUUGCUCGGCAGACUUCACUGCACAGUGCCUUUUCUAUUUUUCUAUGUCGAGAAGAGUUGAAAUAGGAGCCAUUAUUUGUACAAAACUGCUUUUAUAACAUUUGAUUUCAUUUUUUGAUUAAAAAUAGUUUAAUAAACCAUUUUAUUUAACCAUAGCAUUGUCUACAUGUUUUAUUUUAAACCAUGAAAUUCCCACUAUUUUAAGUUAUUCUCAUUACAUCAUUAAUGUAAAUAAAAAGCCUACUUGGGGUAAAUGUGAUCU
rnacentral:lncRNA from 13 species